UUCGUUUCUAGGGUCCCGGUAUAUUCGAUAGAAAAUCUGCCCCUACACUUGAAAGUAGAAGAAUAGUUUAUGCCAGGGAGAAGAAAUGGCAGUCUCUACCGAGCGGAGAUGACGGAACCGAAAAUGAUUAUAUGAACUGCCAAUCAAGAAUAAGUGGCCGGGCUAACACUCUAGUAAGUAUUAUUUUCAGACUUUUAUGAUGUUGGUAUUGUAAUGUACUGUAGUUGUUUUGUGCGCUGUUCUUGGGGCAGGGAGAGUUGGAAAUCAUUGCUUCCUUGCACGAAUCGAGUAUCGUGUUACGUAAAAGUACUGAAUUUUCAAACUUCGACUUUCACAUUGGUUUAGAGGUUGUUGGCACUCCGUCGCUUACGACGUCGAGGGUUCCAGUUGAUCCGAUCAACGGAACAGCCUGCUCGUGAAAUUAACGUGUAAGUGGCUGAGCAUUCCACAGACACGUCUACCCUUAACGUAGUUCUCGGGGAUAUUCCGCGUGACACAGUGUGACAAGGCUGACCCUUUGAAUUACAGGCACAACAGAAGAGUGAAAGUUGUGGUGAAAGAGUACAGCAGGGUUCGCCACCAUCCCCUGCCGGAGCUUCGUGGUGCU